AUGACUUGCCAAGGAAUAAUUUCACUCUAAAUACUUUUUACACAAAAUGGUGACUCACAGAUCUGGGAGUAAGGAAAAGGGAAAAGUUCUGGGAAGCUAAACAGACUUCACCUUUUACAUAUUUCGGAGCUGAACUGUUGCUAAGGCUGAAAAGUGUUCUCUUGGAAUUCUGCUUCAUUUCCAUUGAACCACAGUCCAAGAUUGUUGCCUUUGGUUGAUGCUGAAAAUAUAUUAAUUCCAAGUGAGAUACAGAUCCUUCUGUAGAGAGAGACACAGCAAGAGAGGGAACACAAGCAGGGGCAGAGGGAGAGUGAGAAGCAGGCUUUCCGAGGAGCAGGGAGCCCGAUGCGGGGCUCGAUCCCAGGACCCUGGGAUCAUGACCUGAGCCGAAGGCAGGCACUUAACGACUGAGCCACCCAGGCGCCCCUAUCUUCAGAAGGAACACUUCAAGCAAAGCCACUACUAUAUAAAUAAAUUCUCUGCAUUUUUUUCUCCUCGAAAGAAAUCUAAAGACAAAAAUCUAAACCUUUCCUCUUACAAUUUAAUCUGAAGCCUUUGGCACUGGUAUAUUUCCACUGGAGAUUAUUAAUACCAUAUUUUCAUAGCAGAUGAUUUGCUUUCUGCCUGAGUCUGAAAUACAACCUCUCUGUGCCCACUCACAGAGAAUUAUGUGAACAUUUUUGGUUCUACUAAUCAUAAAGAAAUGCUCCUACUAACUGAAUUUUCUGAAAAAGAAAUAAAGAAAUCAGCACAAUUUACAAUGGCAUCAAAAACAAUAAAAUACUUAGGAAUAAGUUUAAUCAAGGAGGUGAAAGAUCUCUUCUCUGAAAACUACAAGACAUUGAAGGAAGAAAUCAAAAAAGACACAAAUAAAUGGAAGGGCAUCUUGUGUUCACAGGUUGGAAGAAUUAACAUUGCUAAAAUGUGAAUAUUACUAAAGCUAUCUGUAGUUUCAAUGCAAUCCCUAUCAAGAUUGCAAUGGCAUUUUCACAGAAGUAAUAAGCACUCCUAAAAUUUAUAUGGACCAACAAAAGGCCCCAAAGAGCCAAAAAAGUACUGAGAAAGAAGAACCAAUCAGGAGGUAUCACACUCCCUGAUUUCAAGCUACACUAGAAAGUUAUAGUAAUGAAAAUAGUAUGGUGCUAGCAUAAAAACAGACAGCCCAAUGGAACAGAAGAAAGAGCCCAGAAAUAAACCCAAGCAUAUACAGUCAAGCAAUAUUUGACAAAGGAGUCAAGAACACUCAAUGGAGAAAAAUAAUCUUUUCAAUUAACAGUACUGGGAAAACUGGAUAUUCAUAUGUAAAAGAAUGAAACUGUACCCCUAUCUUACACCACUCGCAAAAAUUAAUUUGAGAUGGAUUAAGCACUUAAAUUUAAGACUAGAAAUAAACUCCUAGAAGAAAACAUAGAAAUAAACCUCCUUGACAUGUUCUUGGUAAGGAUUUGGAUAGGACACUUAAAGCACAGGCAACAAAAAUAAACAAGUGGGUUAAUGUCGAACUAAAAAGCUUCUGCAGAAACCGUAAUAAAGUGAAAAAACAAUUUGUGGAAUGGGAAGAAAUAUUAGCAAAUCAUAUAUAUAAGGAGUUAUUGCCCAAAAUAUACAAAGAAUUUAUGCAACUCAAUAGUAAAGAAACAAUAACCUAAUUAAAAAAUGGGUAAAUGAUCUGAACAGACAUUUUUCCAAAGAAGACAUGCAAAAGGCCAACAAGUACACAAAAAGAUGCUCAACAUCACUAGCCAGUUGGGAACUGCAAAUUAAAACCACAAUGAGAUACCACCUCAUACCCGUCAGAAUGGCCACCAUCAAAAAGACAAGAAAUAACAAAUGCUGGCGUGGAAGUAAAGAAAAGGAAACCUCUGUGCACUGUUGGUGGGAUUAUAAGUUGGUGCAGCCACUAUGGAAAACAGUAUGGAAGAUCCUCAAAAAAUUAAAAAUAGAACUGUCAUAUGAUCCAGCAAUUCCAUUUCUGGAAAAAACAUCCAAAGGGAAUGAAAACACUAAUUCAAAAAGUUACCUGCACCCCCAUGUUCAUAGCAGCAUUAUUACAAUAGCCAAGACAUCGAAACAAUCUAACUGUUCAUUGACGGAUGAAUGGAUAAAGUUGUGGCAUAUAUGUAUAUAUUACAGAAUAUUAUUUGGCCAUAAAAAAAGAGGGAAUCCUACCAUUUGCAAGAACAUGGAUGGACCUUGAGGACAUUAUGCUAAGUGAAAUAAGUCAGACAAAUUCAAAUACUGUAUGAUCUCACUUGUAUGUGGAAUCUUAAAAACAAACAAACAAACAAAAAACCUCAUAGAAAAUGAGAUUAGACUUGUAACCAGAGGUGAAGUGUGGAGGGAGGGGGAAUUGGAGGAAGUGAUCAAAAGGUACAAACUUCCAGUUAUAAGGUGAAUAAACAUUAGGGGCAUAAUGUACAACAUGAUGACUGUAGUUAACAUUGCUGUGUGAUAUAUAGGAAGUUGUUAAGUGAGUAAAUCCUAUGAGUUAUCACAAUUUUUUUUUUCUUUUCUUUUUAUCUAUAUGCGACAGUGAAUACGAGCUGAACCUAUUGUGGUCAUCAUUUCACAAUGUAUGUAAGUCAAAGCAUCAUGCUGUACACCUUAAACAUACACAGUGAUGUAUGUCAAUUACUUCUCAAUAAAAUUGGAAAAGAAAAAAGGAAAAUGCUCCCAGUGAUAAACUGGUGAAUCCAGAAUAAAUGUCUUCUGCCCAUUUUUUUAACUGGA